rnacentral:miRNA from 1 species
UGAGGCAGGAGAAUUGUUUGAACCCAGGAGGUGGAGGUUGCAGUGAGCCGAGAUUGCACCACUGCACUCCAGCCUGGGUGACACAGCGAGACUCCGUCUC